rnacentral:rRNA from 1 species
UACGUAGGGUGCGAGCGUUAAUCGGAAUUACUGGGCGUAAAGCGUGCGCAGGCGGUUUUGUAAGCCAGAUGUGAAAUCCCCGGGCUCAACCUGGGAAUGGCAUUUGGGACUGCAAGGCUGGAGUGCGGCAGAGGAGACUGGAAUUCCUGGUGUAGCAGUGAAAUGCGUAGAUAUCAGGAGGAACACCAAUAGCGAAGGCAGCUCGCUGGGACGGUACUGACGCUAAGGCGCGAAAGCGUGGGGAGCGAACAGG